rnacentral:lncRNA from 1 species
CCAUUGUAGCUCUGUAGCACUUUCUCCGCUGCUGCGUGAGUAUUGAACUCAACAAAUCCAUAACGCUCUGAUUGACCAGUCUGCUUGUUUCGAAUAAUUUUCACAGAAAUAACCUGCAUGAUAUAAGACACAUGGUCGGGUACUAUUACAGAGUGCAAAGCUUAAAUUGCAAACUAAUAAUCAACUAUUGUACUCUAUAAGUGUAGUAAAGUGACACAUAGUCAGGUACUAUUACAGAGUGCAACGCUUAAAUUGCAAACUAAUAAUCAACUAUUGUACUCUAUAUGUGCAGUGAAGUGACGUAUAGGCUUGAACAAAAUAUGCUUGAGAUAAAUUUAUUUCAACCACAAAAUAAAAGGUUCCCACAAGAUUACAGUCAUAGGAAAGGCUAAGGAAUUCUGGAAAAGAAAAGGAAAACUUGCUAGAAUUCUUUAAAUGCAGUUGGUCCAAUGUCAUGUCCAUCACUAAUCACUGUUUUGAGAAAGGAAAAGCUUUUUGACAUCCUCAUUUACUCACAUUUUCUAGUGGUUUACCAUUGAACAAGCUAAGAUCAAAGCUUCUUGCUUCAAGUUUACUAGCUAUAGCAAUAUCACCAACCUCUGCCACAAAUAAUCCUAGAACAAGAACUACUACAACUAAUACAUCAGCUGAGAUAUUCUCGAAAAUUCAAAAACAAAGAUAUUUUCUCUUCACCGCUUCUCAUUCUCUUUCUUCUUUCCUUCUCUUCUUCACUCCUUUCUCUUUCUAUUUUCCCGGAGCCUCAUCCCUCCUUGCCAUCACGUACCUCCUAGACUUCUUCUUUAAAACACUCUGGCCUUCUUAUUCUUCUAAGAUGGUGUU